rnacentral:lncRNA from 1 species
GGCUGCUUUAUGUUUAGGAGUCCAUCUUUAGUUCAAUUUCAUAUUUUUUGUUUUUAUUUAAUUUAUAGAACCUUAUUAGGGUUGAGAUACUAUAAAUAUCUUUGUUUUAUGUUAUUCAAUUUUUAUUGAUAAAAUUAUAAGUUUAUUUCUUCAGUUGGAGUCUAGUGUUCUUCCUUGGUAUCUUGAAGGAUUUCAUCUUAUAUGAAUCUUUAUUCUUAUUCAUCAAUACUGCAUCAGUA